rnacentral:tRNA from 5 species
CGGGGUAUAGCGCAGUUGGCUAGCGUAUCUGCUUUGGGAGCAGAGGGUCGCAAGUUCGAGUCUUGCUACCCCGA